AGAAUCAACGCUGGCGGCGUGCCUAACACAUGCAAGUCGCACGAGAAAGCGGGAGCAAUCCUGUGAGUAAAGUGGCGUACGGGUGAGUAACACGUGAAUCAUCUACCUUCGAGUGCGGAAUAACUGAGAGAAAUCUUAGCUAAUACCGCAUAAUACCCACGGGUCAAAGCAGCAAUGCGCUUGAAGAGGAGUUCGCGGCAGAUUAGUUAGUUGGCGGGGUAAUGGCCCACCAAGACGAUGAUCUGUA
rnacentral:rRNA from 1 species